rnacentral:rRNA from 1 species
AUGCCCGCCAAGCUUCUCCGGACGCCCACCGCCCGGCGACGCCACCACUUGCCGGUGCUGCAUCUCGUUGCCGUCCUCCUGCUUGUGCCGCUCUCACGGCCGGCCUCGGCGUCGGCGUCGACGGUGGUCACCCACCUGCCAGGAUUCGAUGGCCCUCUCCCCUUCUACCUCGAAACCGGAUACGUGGGCGUGGAGGAGGAGACCGGGGCGGAGCUCUUCUACUACUUCGCCAAGUCGGAGCGGAGCCCCGGCACCGACCCCGUCAUCCUGUGGCUCACCGGCGGGCCUCGCUGCUCGGGCUUCAGCGGCUUCGCCUUCGAAGUUGGCCCCGUAAAGUAUGUGCGGGCGCCGUACACUGGAGUUUUGCCGCGGCUGGUACAGAACCCGCUGUCAUGGACCAAGAUGGCGAGCAUCAUCUUCCUGGAUUCGCCCGUCUGCUCGGGCUUCUCGUAUGCUCGUGACCCCAAAGGCUGCGAUGUCGGAGACUACUCGUCCUCUCUGCAAGUCCAAAGAUUCCUGAAUAAGUGGUUCACUCAUCACCCGCAGUACCUUUCAAAUCCUUUCUACCUUGGAGGAGAUUCAUACGCUGGAAAGGUGAUUCCACUUAUUGCAACAUACAUGUCACAAGAUUUACCAUCACAUAUGCAAAUAAGUUGA